AACGCUGGCGGCGUGCUUAACACAUGCAAGUCGAACGGAAAGGCCCUGCUUUUGUGGGGUGCUCGAGUGGCGAACGGGUGAGUAACACGUGAGUAACCUGCCCUUGACUUUGGGAUAACUUCAGGAAACUGGGGCUAAUACCGGAUAGGAGCUCCUGCUGCAUGGUGGGGGUUGGAAAGUUUCGGCGGUUGGGGAUGGACUCGCGGCUUAUCAGCUUGUUGGUGGGGUAGUGGCUUACCAAGGCUUUGACGGGUAGCCGGCCUGAGAGGGUGACCGGCCACAUUGGGACUGAGAUACGGCCCAGACUCCUACGGGAGGCAGCAGUGGGGAAUAUUGCACAAUGGGCGGAAGCCUGAUGCAGCAACGCCGCGUGCGGGAUGACGGCCUUCGGGUUGUAAACCGCUUUCGCCUGUGACGAAGCGUGAGUGACGGUAAUGGGUAAAGAAGCACCGGCUAACUACGUGCCAGCAGCCGCGGUGAUACGUAGGGUGCGAGCGUUGUCCGGAUUUAUUGGGCGCAAAGGGCUCGUAGGUGGUUGAUCGCGUCGGAAGUGUAAUCUUGGGGCUUAACCCUGAGCGUGCUUUCGAUACGGGUUGACUUGAGGAAGGUAGGGGAGAAUGGAAUUCCUGGUGGAGCGGUGGAAUGCGCAGAUAUCAGGAGGAACACCAGUGGCGAAGGCGGUUCUCUGGGCCUUUCCUGACGCUGAGGAGCGAAAGCGUGGGGAGCGAACAGGCUUAGAUACCCUGGUAGUCCACGCUGUAAACGGUGGGUACUAGGUGUGGGGUCCAUUCCACGGGUUCCGUGCCGUAGCUAACGCUUUAAGUACCCCGCCUGGGGAGUACGGCCGCAAGGCUAAAACUCAAAGGAAUUGACGGGGCCCCGCACAAGCGGCGGAGCAUGCGGAUUAAUUCGAUGCAACGCGUAGAACCUUACCUGGGUUUGACAUGGAUCGGGAGUGCUCAGAGAUGGGUGUGCCUCUUUUGGGGUCGGUUCACAGGUGGUGCAUGGCUGUCGUCAGCUCGUGUCGUGAGAUGUUGGGUUAAGUCCCGCAACGAGCGCAACCCUUGUUCACUGUUGCCAGCACGUUAUGGUGGGGACUCAGUGGAGACCGCCGGGGUCAACUCGGAGGAAGGUGGGGAUGACGUCAAGUCAUCAUGCCCCUUAUGUCCAGGGCUUCACGCAUGCUACAAUGGCUGGUACAGAGAGUGGCGAGCCUGUGAGGGUGAGCGAAUCUCGGAAAGCCGGUCUCAGUUCGGAUUGGGGUCUGCAACUCGACCUCAUGAAGUCGGAGUCGCUAGUAAUCGCAGAUCAGCAACGCUGCGGUGAAUACGUUCCCGGGGCUUGUACACACCGCCCGUCAAGUCAUGAAAGUUGGUAACACCCGAAGCCGGUGGCCUAACCGUUGUGGGGGAGCCGUCGAAGGUGGGACUGGUGAUUAGGACUA
rnacentral:rRNA from 1 species